CCGCCGCCAGCGCCAGGCCCCCGCCGCCGCCGACUCGGCGCUCACUUUAAUACUGCGCGGGGCCCCGGCGCCCAGGGGCGCCUCGCUCCCCGCCCCCUCCCCAUCCCAUCGGGGCCCUUGGCCUGGGGACCCCCGCCCCGGCUUUGUGUGGUGGCCUCGUCACCGGCGCUGCCCCUGGCACGUCACAAAUCCGGCCGGCCCGUCGCCCCCGCCUGCGAGACGGAGUUCCUCUUUCCAACCUGAUUACCCCGCACGACCUGGCUGGCCUGUCCUCUGCGGACUCCCGUUACCCUGGAGUUCUUAAAGGCGUUAAGCUGUUUUCCAGCUUGGUUGCAGGACUCUGAGAAACUAACUGAAGAAUUGCGGCUUUUUCCUUUGAUUCAUGCACCAAGAUUUGUUGCAUUCGCAAAAGGAUAAGAGAGCAACCAGGAUCACGUCUGCUCCAGGAUCAACUCCUGCGUGCUGUCUAUAGGCCCUGCAUAGUCUCUGGCAAUGGCUUUCAGCUGAGAAUGAAAUCAGAGCUUAGAAUCCACCAU